rnacentral:rRNA from 1 species
AGCAGCCGCGGUAAUUCCAGCUCCAAUAGCGUAUAUUAAAGUUGUUGCAGUUAAAAAGCUCGUAGUUGAAUUUCGGGAUCAGUACGCUGGUCGUGCCUUUGGUAUGUACUGGUGUUACUGGUUUCUACCUUCUGAAGAACCAUCAUGUCAUUAGUUUGGUGUGGCGGGGAAUCAGGACUGUUACUUUGAAAAAAUUAGAGUGUUUAAAGCAGGCUCGCGCUUGAAUACAUUAGCAUGGAAUAAUGAAAUAGGACGUUUGAUUCUAUUUUGUUGGUUUCUAGGAUCGACGUAAUGAUUAAUAGGGAUAGUUGGGGGCAUUAGUAUUCAAUUGUCAGAGGUGAAAUUCUUGGAUUUAUUGAAGACUAACUACUGCGAAAGCAUUUGCCAAGGAUGUUUUCAUUAAUCAAGAACGAAAGUUAGGGGAUCGAAGACGAUCAGAUACCGUCGUAGUCUUAACCAUAAACUAUGCCGACUAGGGAUCGGAUGAUGUUAAUUUUUAAUGUACUCAUUCGGUCGUACC